AAAGUUUUUCUUAAAAUUAUUUAAGUAAACCAUUUUGGAGAGGCACCUACAAAUCUAAUUAGGAGAAUAACAGGAAAUGAAACCUCGGAAGGUGCAAUAACUAUAAACAAUGAAUUGGUUCAAUGAAUCGAUGACAACUUUGUUCAUAUCUCAUCUAUAUUAUUAUAUGUAAUGAUGGAUGUACAACUUACAGAUAGUCCCAUUAAUGGAUGAAUCAAAAGCAACUUGAAUAGACCAUAGAAAUCACUUCCUAGCAAUUAUAGGAAGGAUCACUUAUAAAAUUUAAACCACGAUAAAAGUAUUAAUCCAUGGACGAAUUCGAAUUUAAUGCGUGGAUUGAUCUACCGUGGAAUGAAGUAUUAAUCCAUGUACGAAUUUGAAUUUAAUACGUGGAUUGAUCUAUCGUGGAAUAAAAAUGAGCAGGCAUCACCAAGUCUACGGAUGAGAAACCAUGGAAACAUUCGCUAUUUCGUGGUAGAAAAAAGCAUGGACACGAAUUUAAACAGGGUGCUGGGAACAAGAUACAUUUCCAUUUCUUAUAACACGUAUAUGGCAGAAGAACUGAAGCUUUCCCAGACUUAAACAUUUGUAGUGGUCAAUAUUCAUAGGUUAUUAUCAUAAGUUGAGUUACCAGUAACCGACCACAGUCAAAAAUUAAUUUGUCUUGAGGCUUUUAUUCGUGGAUUGACUCACUGCAAAUUGAAAUCUGUUCUAGAAGCAGUCGAGUCUACGUCCCGCAGCCACUUAUAAAUAUUGACGAUCCAGUUCCGGUACUAUACCCAAGAAGAGUUAGUAAACAAAAGCUAGAUAAGUUCACUUGUCCCUUUUGCAACUAUGUGUGCUUAAUCGAAAAUGGUGACAAACCUCUUUGUGAAUGCGAGAUAAUCUAGACAUUUUUUUAAGCCAGAUACAAAGAUAGGUCUAGAUGGUGAAGCUGCUAAACAAGAUGCAUAGUACCAGUAUUGUAUGUACAAAAUUGAAUGUGGAAAACAAAUUUGAUCGAACGAAUUUCAGAUAUAGAAUCAGGAUCGUCCCCACAAACCAUGGUGAACCGCUGAAAAAGUGAAGUGUUCUCCUAAUUAGAAGUAAUUUGGUGCCUCAUCCGAUAGGAAUAUUAUUAGUUUUUGAAAGAAAUAAUUAAGUGUAGUUAGUGAGUACGAACAAAGGCUGAAAUAAGUGCAGUAUCAAUCCAUUAUUUGAUUAAUUCAACUAAAAAGUAUAAAAUAUGGCUAUAAGAAACUAAAAUGAACUAACAACGAGUACGAUAUGAAUUUUAUGGAAUGAAACCACAAGAUCCAAAGGCGAAUAUUAUGAAUUUCUUGAGUAUACAUCUUAUAAAAAAUAACAGACGUAGUUUCUUAGGGAACAUUGACUCUAUUAGAACAAAGUAUAAUAAUUGUAUGAUUAUAUGAAAUUUUUUAGUAUUAAUGUAUUUAGUAUUAGU